rnacentral:rRNA from 1 species
CCAAGCUGCAGCACCAACCUGAGAGCAGUAAGACAUUAUCAAACUGCCAACUUUGAAGCUAAGCAGGUGUGAGCCUGGUCAGUACCUGGAUGGGAGACCUCCUGAGAAAAACUAAGGUUGCUGCUGGAA